UAUUGUUGUUGUCAGAGGUCGUGUGGCCGGAGCUGUGCUACAGCUAGACUGAGGCCUGAGUAUGGUGCAGUGACUGGGUAGGAGCUGUCAGUACAAGCCUACACCAGGCAAGGAGCCCGCUCUGCUGGCCCAAAGGCAGUGGUGCAGAACCUGAACAGAAGUUGUCCUGCAGUGGGAGUCUGUUCCUCUGGAGCAGAGGUAUGGCUUCAGCUGCAACUACAGCCUCUACGUCCAGAUUGAAGAGGAAAUCUUGAGGUUGUAGUUACACCAGGAGAACGGCUGUGGUACCAGUUGAGUGGUUUGUCUGGACUGUACAGGAUCCACAUGGAAGGAGUCCUGCUGGUCCAACGGCUAGGGCAUUGAUUCAGUGGACACCAUCCUGCUGUGUUCCAUUCCUGCUGUGCUCACUGUCCUGAUACUGCUGACCUGCCUACAUUGGAGACAGAGGUGAGAGAGCCAUAGAGAGAGCAGCCUAGAUGGCCUGCAGUGCAACUCUCCCCAUGUCUUAUCAGCCUGCUGCAUUCUACCAGACCCAUAUGUUUCCUUGGCUGAUUAGCAGCAGACUGUAGACUGGCCUCCACUUAGUCUGAGAGUCUGAUAACAGUGUCUGUUCUCUGCAGGAUAAAGCAGAAUCUCUGACCUUAAGUCCCUGACCCUGCCUGUCAACCUGGAACUCUGAGACUAAAUACACAACAGUCUUUUUCACUGACGGGGUGGGUACUUUUGAAUGCCAGAUAGCAAAAUGGGACUGUGCCCUACAAAAUGGAAAAACACAGAUCCACUACACAUAUCUGUAGAUAAAUGCUCUCAUUGAAGAUCUCUGGAAGUCAAAAGAAACUACACAGAGUAGGACUCAAUGAAAAUAAUACUUUUACAAAAUGAUUACUCUGUAUUGCACUUUAAUGCUAUUGUUAGUCUAACCAAUAUUAUAUGUUUAAAGUUAUUAUUAUAAUUUCAAAUAAAUUUCACUCACCCAGUAGAGGGCAGAAACCUAUUGAUUUUGAAUGCACAGUGAACAAAAAUAUAAACGCAACAUGUAAAAAGUGUUGGUCCCAUGAUCUGAUUUUUUUUUUUUUUAAGUUGCAUAUGCAAAAGUUUAUUUCUUUCAAUUACUUUGCACAUCGGUGUUAGUGAGUGUCUC